rnacentral:rRNA from 1 species
GACGAACGCUGGCGGCGUGCUUAACACAUGCAAGUCGAACGAAGAGCGAUGGAAGCUUGCUUCUAUCAAUCUUAGUGGCGAACGGGUGAGUAACGCGUAAUCAACCUGCCCUUCAGAGGGGGACAACAGUUGGAAACGACUGCUAAUACCGCAUACGAUCUAAUCUCGGCAUCGAGGAUAGAUGAAAGGUGGCCUCUACAUGUAAGCUAUCACUGAAGGAGGGGAUUGCGUCUGAUUAGCUAGUUGGAGGGGUAACGGCCCACCAAGGCGAUGAUCAAUAGCCGGUCUGAGAGGAUGAACGGCCACAUUGGGACUGAGACACGGCCCAGACUCCUACGGGAGGCAGCAGUGGGGAAUCUUCCGCAAUGGACGAAAGUCUGACGGAGCAACGCCGCGUGAGUGAUGACGGCCUUCGGGUUGUAAAGCUCUGUUAAUCGGGACGAAAGGCCUUCUUGCGAAUAGUGAGAAGGAUUGACGGUACCGGAAUAGAAAGCCACGGCUAACUACGUG